rnacentral:rRNA from 1 species
AGUGAACGCUGGCGGUAGGCCUAACACAUGCAAGUCGAACGGCAGCACAGUAAGAGCUUGCUCUUACGGGUGGCGAGUGGCGGACGGGUGAGGAAUACAUCGGAAUCUACUUUUUCGUGGGGGAUAACGUAGGGAAACUUACGCUAAUACCGCAUACGACCUACGGGUGAAAGCAGGGGAUCUUCGGACCUUGCGCGAUUGAAUGAGCCGAUGUCGGAUUAGCUAGUUGGCGGGGUAAAGGUCCACCAAGGCGACGAUCCGUAGCUGGUCUGAGAGGAUGAUCAGCCACACUGGAACUGAGACACGGCCCAGACUCCUACGGGAGGCAGCAGUGGGGAAUAUUGGACAAUGGGCGCAAGCCUGAUCCAGCCAUACCGCGUGGGUGAAGAAGGCCUUCGGGUUGUAAAGCCCUUUUGUUGGGAAAGAAAAGCAGCAGGUUAAUACCCCGCUGUUCUGACGGUACCCAAAGAAUAAGCACCGGCUAACUUCGUG